rnacentral:rRNA from 1 species
GACGAACGCUGGCGGCGUGCUUAACACAUGCAAGUCGAACGGAAAGGCCCUGCUUUUGUGGGGUGCUCGAGUGGCGAACGGGUGAGUAACACGUGAGUAACCUGCCCUUGACUUUGGGAUAACCUCAGGAAACUGGGGCUAAUACCGGAUAGGAGCUCCUGCUGCAUGGUGGGGGUUGGAAAGUUUCGGCGGUUGGGGAUGGACUCGCGGCUUAUCAGCUUGUUGGUGGGGUAGUGGCUUACCAAGGCUUUGACGGGUAGCCGGCCUGAGAGGGUGACCGGCCACAUUGGGACUGAGAUACGGCCCAGACUCCUACGGGAGGCAGCAGUGGGGAAUAUUGCACAAUGGGCGGAAGCCUGAUGCAGCAACGCCGCGUGCGGGAUGACGGCCUUCGGGUUGUAAACCGCUUUCGCCUGUGACGAAGCGUGAGUGACGGUAAUGGGUGAAGAAGCACCGGCUAACUACGUGCCAGCAGCCGCGGUGAUACGUAGGGUGCGAGCGUUGUCCGGAUUUAUUGGGCGUAAAGGGCUCGUAGGUGGUUGAUCGCGUCGGAAGUGUAAUCUUGGGGCUUAACCCUGAGCGUGCUUUCGAUACGGGUUGACUUGAGGAAGGUAGGGGAGAAUGGAAUUCCUGGUGGAGCGGUGGAAUGCGCAGAUAUCAGGAGGAACACCAGUGGCGAAGGCGGUUCUCUGGGCCUUUCCUGACGCUGAGGAGCGAAAGCGUGGGGAGCGAACAGGCUUAGAUACCCUGGUAGUCCACGCUGUAAACGGUGGGUACUAGGUGUGGGGUCCAUUCCACGGGUUCCGUGCCGUAGCUAACGCCUUAAGUACCCCGCCUGGGGAGUACGGCCGCAAGGCUAAAACUCAAAGGAAUUGACGGGGCCCCGCACAAGCGGCGGAGCAUGCGGAUUAAUUCGAUGCAACGCGUAGAACCUUACCUGGGUUUGACAUGGAUCGGGAGUGCUCAGAGAUGGGUGUGCCUCUUUUGGGGUCGGUUCACAGGUGGUGCAUGGCUGUCGUCAGCUCGUGUCGUGAGAUGUUGGGUUAAGUCCCGCAACGAGCGCAACCCUUGUUCACUGUUGCCAGCACGUUAUGGUGGGGACUCAGUGGAGACCGCCGGGGUCAACUCGGAGGAAGGUGGGGAUGACGUCAAGUCAUCAUGCCCCUUAUGUCCAGGGCUUCACGCAUGCUACAAUGGCUGGUACAGAGAGUGGCGAGCCUGUGAGGGUGAGCGAAUCUCGGAAAGCCGGUCUCAGUUCGGAUUGGGGUCUGCAACUCGACCUCACGAAGUCGGAGUCGCUAGUAAUCGCAGAUCAGCAACGCUGCGGUGAAUACGUUCCCGGG